rnacentral:rRNA from 1 species
GAUGAACGCUGGCGGCGUGCCUAAUACAUGCAAGUCGAGCGAACAGAUGAGGAGCUUGCUCCUCUGACGUUAGCGGCGGACGGGUGAGUAACACGUGGAUAACCUACCUAUAAGACUGGGAUAACUUCGGGAAACCGGAGCUAAUACCGGAUAAUAUAUUGAACCGCAUGGUUCAAUAGUGAAAGACGGUUUUGCUGUCACUUAUAGAUGGAUCCGCGCCGCAUUAGCUAGUUGGUAAGGUAACGGCUUACCAAGGCAACGAUGCGUAGCCGACCUGAGAGGGUGAUAGGCCACACGGGAAGUGAGACACGGUCCAGACUCCUACGGGAGGCAGCAGUAGGGAAUCUUCCGCAAUGGGCGAGAGCCUGACGGAGCAACGCCGCGUGAGUGAUGAAGGUCUUCGGAUCGUAAAACUCUGUUAUUAGGGAAGAACAAAUGUGUAAGUAACUAUGCACGUCUUGACGGUACCUAAUCAGAAAGCCACGGCUAACUACGUG